UUUCUUUCUUCUCUUCUUCUUUCUUAUUUCUUAUUCUUUUCUUCUUCUCGUCUCUUCUUCUUCCCUUUCUUCUGUUGCCGACGAUUGUGAGUGAGAUUUAAGAAUUCUGUUAAGAGAAUCAAUCGACGAGGAGGAACUGAUGCAGUAGAAGUUGUUAUUGGUGUUGACGAAUAGUUGAUGGUGGUGUUGAUGUAUUAUUUAGCAGAUUUAGGAUUUCUCACAGAGAUAAUCUAAAGUUCGAAAUUAGAAAUGGAUUCAGGGGUUCUUGCUAGAACUGCAGAUGGGGUUUGUGAAUAUUAGUUAUGGAAUUGAGGAUGAAAUCAGAGAUUUGAGUAAUCGGUUAAUUAGAUUUGAUAUGAGAUGAAUUUGGAAUUGAGAUUAGGAGCAGAAGAGUUGAAUCAACAAUAUUUGAUGAUUUAAGAAGAAUCAGAUGGAAUUAACGGGUGGGUUUUGGUUUAAAUUGAAGUUGUGAAGUUGAUUUGGUAUAGAAUCAUAGAGUUAGCAUUAUGAAUUUGAGUUCGUACGCAAUUGAAGAGCAUACUGAGUAUUGGCAGAUGAACAACAAAGAGGGUUUUGUUGAAUCGAUGUGUUGGAGUUGAUUUGAUUAAGGAUUAGCAAAUUAGGGUUUCUCAGGAAGUUGUUUAGAAGUUUGAUUAGUGACGAAUAAGAGGGAAUUAAACAUGGGUUUAAUCAGAAUUAGAGCUUGAGGUUGAAGUAUAGCGUAAAUUGGAAUUAAGGUUUGUUCUUGAGUAUUUUGGAUUAGUAGAAGCAGGGGAUAUGAUUCUGGAAAUGGAUUAUAGGUGGAUGUAUGGUUUGGGUUGAUGUGAAGAAUGAAUUGAAUCGGUGGGUUGCUGGAGUUUAAGAAGAAUUGCAGAAUUUAGUUAAGCAAGAAGGGGAGUUGAGUUGUAUUGCUGGAAUGGAAUUAAAUUGAGGUAAUUGUUCUUCUCAAUAUGAAUUAGUUCCAUUUCAUUAUUGAAUUUAUAAGUUUGUCAAUGAAGUAUGAAAUAUGUUUGAGGUAUAGAAGUUGAUGUUGAUUGUGGAAUUGGGUUUAUGAAUGUAAACUAGGAACUGCCAGAAGUGUUAAUGAUGUUGUUGUGAACUAAAUUGGAUGCUAAUGCAAAGUGUUGUGGUUGUGGUGAUGCUGCACAGUUGGUGGUGUUGGAGUGGUCUGGUUUGAGACAGAUCAUAGGUUGGUUUCAGUUAUAGAGUUUGAAGGUGAAUUUUGGAGAAUGAAUUGUGCCGGUGAGAUGCAAAUGAUAGUGGUUUGAAGUUCUGGUGAUAUUAGUUGAGAUGGUGUUAUGUAGUUGUGGGGAAGUUCUUGUUUUACAAGACCGGAAGGUGUUUUGAACUGCAGGAGAUAAGGGAUGUGCAGUGUUGUUUGUUGUCGCAAUUAAAGUGUAAACUAGAAGUUAGUAGUGUUAUAGUUAUUAGAACUUGAGUGUACUUGGGAGAUGUUUGAGAAGAAGCUGAUUGUAAGCUGUUUUGGCAGCGGCCUUAGUGAAAGACUGCAACUGCAGAUUAAGUUAGUCUAUUAACAACGAUCGAUUCAAAGGAUGAACCACUUGAUCGUGGAUCUCGAGGUCGGCUUGGCUUGUCAUCGAAAAGAGUUUGCGAGUUCGGAAUUGUCGACAUCAAUACUCACGAUUAGGUGUGGAUUUGCGAGUUCGGAAUUGCACAACCAUAGUAUACAUUGUUUGAGGAAGGAGUUUGUCCAUAUACAUGUUUGAGUAUUACCAGUGACUUAGUCACUUUGUUGUUUGGGAAAAUAUGUAUUCUUUUCUAAAUCUUACUCUUGAUUUCUUUAAAAUUGAAUGUUAAUCCUGAUGGGCACCCUUUCUAGGGAUGAUGUGUUCACCCAUUCCCACUUUCAGUUUCAGAGACAGAUUAGAGUUGCGCAGCGAAAGCUUCAAGGAGUUGAGUCCGUCUGUUAGAUUAUUUUUGGCUGUGUUUAUUAUGUUGCAUAUUAUAUUUAUAAACCAAAUGACUAUUGUAUAUGUAUCAUUUGAGAUAAGUUCUUGUAUUUGUAUAUUUCUGAGCGGGGCUAGUUUUGGGUUAAGUUUUGUUACUGAUUUCCUAAUUGAAUGCUUAAAUUUAUGAUUUGGUUUCUUAA